rnacentral:rRNA from 1 species
GACGGAGGAUGCAAGCGUUAUCCGGAAUGAUUGGGCGUAAAGCGUCCGCAGGUGGCAAUGUAAGUCUGCUGUUAAAGAGUCUAGCUCAACUAGAUAAGAGCAGUGGAAACUACAUAGCUAGAGUACGUUCGGGGCAGAGGGAAUUCCUGGUGUAGCGGUGAAAUGCGUAGAGAUCAGGAAGAACACCAGUGGCGAAGGCGCUCUGCUAGGCCGUAACUGACACUGAGGGACGAAAGCUAGGGGAGCGAAUGGG